rnacentral:rRNA from 2 species
UGCCCCAGUAACGGCGAGUGAAGCGGCAACAGCUCAAAUUUGAAAUCUGGCCCCCAGGCCCGAGUUGUAAUUUGCAGAGGAUGCUUUUGGUGAGGCACCUACCGAGUCCCCUGGAAUGGGGCGCCAUAGAGGGUGAGAGCCCCGUAUGGUAGGACGCCGAACCUCUGUAAAGCUCCUUCGACGAGUCGAGUAGUUUGGGAAUGCUGCUCUAAAUGGGAGGUAAAUUUCUUCUAAAGCUAAAUACCGGCCAGAGACCGAUAGCGCACAAGUAGAGUGAUCGAAAGAUGAAAAGCACUUUGAAAAGAGGGUUAAAAAGUACGUGAAAUUGUUGAAAGGGAAGCGCUUGUGACCAGACUUGCGCCGGGCGGAUCAUCCAGCGUUCUCGCUGGUGCACUCCGCCCGGUUCAGGCCAGCAUCGGUUUUCGCCGGGGGACAAAGGCUUCGGGAACGUGGCUCCUUUCGGGGAGUGUUAUAGCCCGUUGCGUAAUACCCCGGCGGGGACCGACGACCGCGCUUCGGCAAGGAUGCUGGCGUAAUGGUCAUCAGCGACCCGUCUUGAAACACGGACCGAGGAGUCAAGCAUUAGUGCGAGUGUUUGGGUGUAAAACCCGCACGCGUAAUGAAAGUGAACGUAGGUGAGAGCUUCGGCGCAUCAUCGACCGAUCCUGAUGUUUUCGGAAGGAUUUGAGUAGGAGCAUUAACGCUUGGACCCGAAAGAUGGUGAACUAUACUUGAAUAGGGUGAAGCCA